AUUCCCACUGAUCCCAACACUAAAGGCACCAGAUCCCAGCUGAUCUUAGAAGCUAAGAUGGGUCAGCCCUAGUUAGUACUUGGAUGGGAGACCACUGAUGAAUACCAGGUACUGUACACC
rnacentral:rRNA from 1 species